rnacentral:rRNA from 1 species
GACGAACGCUGGCGGCGUGCUUAACACAUGCAAGUCGAACGGAAAGGCCCUGCUUUUGUGGGGUGCUCGAGUGGCGAACGGGUGAGUAACACGUGAGUAACCUGCCCUUGACUUUGGGAUAACUUCAGGAAACUGGGGCUAAUACCGGAUAGGAGCUCCUGCUGCAUGGGGGGGGUUGGAAAGUUUCGGCGGUUGGGGAUGGACUCGCGGCUUAUCAGCUUGUUGGUGGGGUAGUGGCUUACCAAGGCUUUGACGGGUAGCCGGCCUGAGAGGGUGACCGGCCACAUUGGGACUGAGAUACGGACCAGACUGCUACGGGAGGCAGCAGUGGGGAAUAUUGCACAAUGGGCGGAAGCCUGAUGCAGCAACGCCGCGUGCGGGAUGACGGCCUUCGGGUUGUAAACCGCUUUCGCCUGUGACGAAGCGUGAGUGACGGUAAUGGGUAAAGAAGCACCGGCUAACUACGUG